rnacentral:rRNA from 5 species
CCAAGGAGUCUAACAUGUGCGCGAGUCGUCGGGUCUUGAAUAGGCCCGCAGGCGAAAUGAAAGUGAAGGGCGACCCUGUCGUCGCCUGCGUUGGGAUCCCCAGGCCGCUGCGUCUGGGGCGCACCAACGGCCCGUCCCGUCCGCGUCGUCGGUGGGACGGAGCGAGAGCGUACACGUUGGGACCCGAAAGAUGGUGAACUAUGCCUGGGCAGGACGAGGCCAGAGGAAACUCUGGUGGAGGUCCGCAGCGAUUCUGACGUGCAAAUCGAUCGUCAGACCUGGGUAUAGGGGCGAAAGACUAAUCGAACCGUCUAGUAGCUGGUUCCCUCCGAAGUUUCCCUCAGGAUAGCUGGCGCUCGAGGGAGUCAGUCUCAUCCGGUAAAGCGAAUGAUUAGAGGCCUUGGGGCCGAAACGACCUCAACCUAUUCUCAAACUUUCAAUGGGUGAGAAGUCCGGUUUACAUGACUGAAGCCCGGACAAUUCUCAGGAUGCGAGUGCCCAGUGGGCCACUUUU